UACGGAGGGGGCUAGCGUUGUUCGGAAUUACUGGGCGUAAAGCGCGCGUAGGCGGCUUUGUAAGUUAGAGGUGAAAGCCCGGAGCUCAACUCCGGAACUGCCUUUAAGACUGCAUCGCUAGAAUCAUGGAGAGGUGAGUGGAAUUCCGAGUGUAGAGGUGAAAUUCGUAGAUAUUCGGAAGAACACCAGUGGCGAAGGCGGCUCACUGGACUGGUAUUGACGCUGAGGUGCGAAAGCGUGGGGAGCGAACAGG
rnacentral:rRNA from 1 species